rnacentral:rRNA from 1 species
UCCCAGACUCCUACGGGAGGCAGCAGUGAGGAAUAUUGGUCAAUGGGCGGGAGCCUGAACCAGCCAAGUCGCGUGAGGGACGAUGGUCCUAUGGAUUGUAAACCUCUUUUGUCGGGGAACAAAGGCGCCCACGGGUGGGCGGAUGAGUGUACCCGAAGAAAAAGCAUCGGCUAACUCCGUGCCAGCAGCCGCGGUAAUACGUAGGUGGCAAGCGUUGUCCGGAUUUACUGGGUGUAAAGGGCGUGCAGCCGGAGAGACAAGUCAGAUGUGAAAUCCACGGGCUCAACCCGUGAACUGCAUUUGAAACUGUUUCCCUUGAGUGUCGGAGAGGUAAUCGGAAUUCCUUGUGUAGCGGUGAAAUGCGUAGAUAUAAGGAAGAACACCAGUGGCGAAGGCGGAUUACUGGACGAUAACUGACGGUGAGUCGCGAAAGCGUGGGGAGCAAACAGGAUUAGAUACCCCGGUA